GAACUUACCUUUACUGUUGC
rnacentral:rRNA from 1 species